CUCAGUCCCCAGGCCCAUGACUGUUUUUAGCCACCAGGCUGCUCUUCCUCACCAAAUUUCUACCAUCCCCCUUCUAGAAGUCUAAGAAAAAUGCCGGGUUAAAAUUGAUCAUUAAAGACUUCCUAUUGACUCUUGAAAGUGCAAUCGUUUUAAGCAGGAAAAAUCACUUACCUUUGGCAGAAAAACACAUCAAGAACAAGUGUGAUUACAUUGGUACGUGGCAAAAGCCACAAGAGACGUAUACAGGUGCUCUAACAGUUUUUCCUUCCGAAUUAUCAGCUGUGUGGUAUUAGAGAGGCGAGGGAGGCCUGGUCUCUGCUGUAUCCUGAAGGCAGUGGUUAGCAUCACUCGGGGGUUAAUGAAGAUUGUUGAAAUGGAGCUUCCGUUGGUGGUUAACCCCUGCCUUCUGCAGGUUCGUGUGAAACACCUGACUGGCGACUGGCACUGUGCUUCAGAUGUGUCCAUGCCUAUUAACCCUGCGUGGGGGUCUGUCUGCUCUGGGACACACAGGGACCCUGAUGCUGAAAGAACUAGGAGCAGCUAUUCCAGGUCUGGACAUGACUGGAGAAGAUUUUGAGCCCAAGGAAGACAUAUUCAGAUGAAGAAUCGGAGAAAAACUAGUUCCAAGUCAUACAGCUAGUUUUGCCAGGGCACAGACUAGAACUGUGUCCCCUGACUUCCUCCAACUCCCUGUAGUCUCAGUGUUUUUCUCAAGGAGAGGCAGAAGAUGGAUGUGUCUGGUGGCCAGGGAAGAAUUCCACUGGCAUUUAUCCACAGAAGAUCAUCAGAGAUAUAAGAAUUUCUCUUGAGACUACAUUUUCGUUUUAACCCUUUCCCCUGCUCCCAAACCUCCACGAGCAGCUUCAGCACCCACUCAGGUUGUAGAGAGAAUAUUAUUGCUGUUACCUACCAGUGCCCUUGUCUCACUUGCAAAAAUUCCCAGAAAAGUCUAAUAAAAAC